AAGCAUCAGAUCCCCGGGAGCUGAAGUUACGGGUGGUUAUGAGCCACCCAACAUGGAUGCUGGGAACACAGAGUCCUUGUUAGAACUUAAGGAUGUUGGAAGGCAUUCUCAAUGAGGAAUCUCAGAAGAGCUCAGAGACUCAAGCAAUUAUGUCAUUGCCUUGAGACGUAUCAAGGACUUGGAUUCCUGCAGCACUGUAACCUGGCUUAUGCUUCUGCACUUUAUCAGUUGACUGGGAUGUGCCUUCUCCACCAAGUCCUUUCCUGUUGACCAACAGACCAUUAAAUUUGAUAUAUUUGCUCAAGGCACUGAAGUAGAACACUUUCGUCUGUACAGAUUCUCAGCCAGGCCAGGGAUAUGGAGGAAGACACUGCAAAUGAACAACUGGGGGUCUUAGAAGCUGUGGUGUUUUGAAUGAGAUGUCCCCUGUAAGUCUCAGGCAUGCCCGUUGGUGACAUGAGUCUGGGGAAGGAUUAAGAGGUGUGGCCUUGCUGGAGGAGGUGUGCUGUUGAGGGUGGGCUUUGACAUUUCAAAAGACCGUGCCAAACUCAGUGUGCUCUCUACUUCCUGCCUGA